GUGGGUGCUGGGAAGUGAACCUGGAUCCUCUGCAAGAGCAACCAAUGCUGUUAACUGCUAAGCCAUCUUUCCAGCCCCAGUUGUUCCUCAAUUCAUAGAAUCUAACAUGCCAAUAAGUAAGAUCUUUAUAAAAGUAGGCAACUCUUCUUAUUUAUCUUUUUUACUCAGGAAUACUUUUGCAAUAAGCUGUGUAAAUUAAAAACUGCUUGCCAGGUAGUUGUGGUGCAUACCUUUAAAUUCAGGAGACAGAAGCAGGCGGAUCUCUGAGUUUGAGCCCAUAUAGGUCUACAGAGCAAGUUCCAAAACAGCCAGGCCUACACAGGGAAACCCUGUCUUAAAAAACCAAACCAAACCAAACCAAAAACCAAAAAACAAAGAGGCAAAACAAAACAAAACUGUAGCCUCACUAUUUCUAAUCCUCUGAAAACUUAACCCUGUAUUGUGAACUUCUUUCCACUUCAACAAAUACUGACUUAAUAUGCUUACAUUACUUCAUCACAUAGAUGUAUCAGACCUAACUUAACUUCCUUGUAUGGGGCAUUAAGUGCAGACUCUAAUAUAGAGAUAUUUUUGCACAUUCUUCAUCAUGUCUCCAACACACCUUUUCAAUAUUGAGUCAAAGGAUGUCGAUCAUCUUCUGCUUAAUGACUUCCAGAAAAGCUGCAAUUGUUUAUCAUUCCUCCUAGGAGGUGUGAGAGUGCCAGCUUUCCAAGACAACAGGAAAAGGACUCCUCAAUGUAUCAAUUCAUAUUUUAAAAUGUCAUCACCAGGGUAUAGAAUUUUUUCCUUUGCUUAUUAUAUUUCUUUCUUUUGUCCUUUUUCACGUUGUUCACCUCCUAGGCUUCCUUUUGAAAUCAGCACUUUAUCUCCAUGUGGCUUUGGCUUUCUUGGUUGUGGGUUUGUCUUCAUUGCAGGAAUGAGGGGCAUGGCUUCUCACAGUGCACUGUCUUCCACACCAGUAGAAAAGAAGUUACAUGGUUCUGUUGCCCAAGGAGGUGUGCCAAGAAGUCAGCUGUGAUUAAAGAGGCUGGUGUCUUAUAACCUGGCUCAUGGCUUUCAGUCCUUUACAAAUUGUUUCUGAACGGUAGUGGGGAGACCUUCACUUGGCCCAAAGCCACAAAACUGGCAUGGACAGCUUCAAAAAGAGAAGUAAGUAACCCUUUAUCCAUUCAUUCUGUGAGUCUAUGCAGACUGGGCUAAAUCCAACCAAUCCGUAUUCACAGAGCAUCCAAGUGUUGCAGACAGGUGAGCAUCUAGAGAUACCUUCCGGGUCUUUAUUGCGUGUUCGAAGAUGAUCCGUAGUCUGUAAAGUUAGGAUAUCUUUAUUCAGAUAAACACCAGCAAAACACAAGCCAGAGCGUGCCCAGAGGCAGCAAGCUAGCGAGGCCAGAGCCAAGGGGCUCUCCUGGCCCCUUAAGAAUUGCCCCAGCAUCAUCCUCGACCUCCCCUGAUCACGCCCUCACUGGUGUGGCCAGGCACACCUGUAGGGGCUCCUAGGAGGAGGAACACUUUCAGUGGUUGAGGUCUUAGCAUAUUGAGGUCUCUGCAGCCAAUGGUACCUGCCAAGAUUAGGGCCAACUAACUCCCGAUCAACCCUGAGAAUGAUCACCAGUUUCAGGCUUAAGCAGAAAAAGGGAAUCCACUCCAGGGGUCAGUUCUUGAUAGGUAGUCAGUCAACAUUUCCUCAUUAGAAUUUUAUUUCUCUGUUCUCUUCCCCAGAGAGUACAACUUUCACUGGAGCUGACUCAUUCUUAAGCUUGGUUACUGGAGAAAUUCUUAGCAAGAAACCCAAAUCUGAGACCUACUAAUCUUUCCUGUGAGAAAGGAUGCUCAGAAAGUCCCUUGCACAACCAGGAGGGGAUGGUACCCAAAAAAGGGAGAUGAAGAGAUCUAGCAGGAAGCUGAAUAUGGUCAUUUAAAGCAUUGCUCUUUAGUCUAAGUGUCUCCCUCCCUCUCUUCCUCCUUCCUUCUUUCCCUCCCUCCCCUUUUCCCUCCCUCCUUCCAUCAUUUUCUCCCUCUCUUAUCCUUUUGUUCUUUCUCUUUUACUCUUAUAUACACAUUUGUAAGGACUUCAAGUAUUCUUGUUAUAAAACAAUAGUAAAAGUCAUUGUUUAAAAAUAUCUUGGCAAAGUAAAAAGCUGCUAAAUGAAUAUUUCUCCCAUUCUUCUGGAGCAUUCCCAGACAUUACAGAUGCUGCUUUCAGUGUAAGGCUCUCUGUGUCAUGGGGAGCACGAUGGAUGCUUUACUCUAUAGGGAAAUCAUUUUUGUAAAACCCCCAAACUCACUUCUCCAACACCCAGCCUACUGUCCUCUUCCCAGCAGUAGGAGUGUGGCCUUCUACCUCAUCAUCCUGAUGGGGAGCAGGACUGCCAAGUUCAAGAGGGCUGUGGUUGACAUGACUGUGGACAAGACCUUCCAGUCUGUAAGCACAUCUCUGUGGCACCCACACCACUGGCCUCCUGAAACAAAGCAUGAAAAAGAAGCCAGCCAGCCAGCUCAGCCACUUAGCCGUGGUGUUGACAUAUAGGAGGGUCUGUGAUCUAGGGACCUGAGUAAAUUCCCAGAGGGAAAUGCCAGGAGGAAGUUCAGGUCACAUGGAUCUCAUCCUUCCCCUCUGCCUCCUAGCCUCUUCAGAUUGGGUUCAUUUCAGGAACUGCAGAUCCUCCAGGGAAACUCCUUAAGGACCCAAUUUUGCACAGCGGAAAUUAGCUUGCUUGUUUUAAAAUAAGCAGGAUCCGGACAUUGUUUUUUUUUUUUUUAAUUUUAGAAAAUACAAAAAUAAAGCAAGAAGAUAAAUAUAAAUGGAAAAAAAUGAAGCUUCACUCUUUUAUCUGUUGUGGAAAACAAUAAAAAAGCACGGCAUGGAGCCUGCCAGCACAGAUCUGAAGAACAGAGGCAAUCAAUUGGAUGGAUGCAGAGCUAGCCCUGAGGUUCAGGUUUGCACUCUGGUGUCAUCGCUCAUUCCAUUCUCUGGGCUGGAGACUUCUGAGGUGCUGGGGUCCCAACGGAACAACAACAACACAACAACAACAACAACAACAACAACAACAAAAAUCCCUAUACAAGGGAGAGAAAUCAGGAAAUAGAAAACCAAAUAGAACUUUGUAUCCAGACGACGGGAUUUCUGAAGACAGUCAUUGUGUAACAGUUUCCUCUGAGGUAGAAGCAUUCUAUCUUGCAAGAAAGUUCCUUAAAUAGGAAGGUAAACAACUCAAAAUAGCUUCAGGAAGUUCCUGAAACUGAACAGAUUCUCUAGGCUCUGCCCUGCCAGAGGAAGCAAGAGUUGAGAGUGUCUCUUAGGCCUAAGGAAGCUGAGCUACUGUAUAGAAGGCUCUCAGAUGAGCUAACGUAAGUGUUGAGACCACUGUCUGGAAGAAGCAGCCUCUAACGGAGGUUCCUGGAAAGGACAGUCUACAACCUGAUGAGCUGCCUGAAGGCUAUGCAAUGUGUUCCAGGUUCCCAGCUCUGUGAGCCAGCUAUCACCUGUGCUGGGGUGGUGAUACAGCAAUCUUUGAGUCAUUUCUGCCCCUGUUCCUAAUCCAGGAAGAGCAUGGUCUACCAGACAAAGAUGGGGCCCCGAGUCUCUGCUAACUACCAGAGUUCAGAAUGGGACACUGCUUUAAGGGAGACCAAGGCUUCUGAAAGAGCACCUGAGCAUUUUGUGUAAUCAAGGCAUGGGUGUAAAGAUGGAAGUGAGGGUGAUGUAUUGGGAGCCGUGCAUUGGAGUCACAUGACCUGGCGGUGGGCACUCAGCAUGCAGGUGACCACUGAGAAGGGGGUCUGUAUAGCUCCACCUCGUUUUCUCCAGAGUCACAUCUUACAAGGCUGUCCUCUUAGAGAAUGGGCUGAGUGGCCUCAGUGCCUCAAAAUAUCCUCUGGCCAAGGGUGGUGAAAAGUCUGGAUCUUAGAAGGCAGAUCGAGGAUAAAUGAAAAGAGUCAUGCUUCAUGUCAAGGAGGUGGUGACAUCUAGAACAUCGACCUGUGUUGUCACAACAGGCCCAGGCCCUGGGUUGACUCCUGUAGGAGUGAGUAUUUGAAAAAAGAGAUGAAGAGGCUGAAGAGGUUGCUCAGAGGUUAAGAGCACUGGCUGCUCUUCCAGAGGUCCUGAGUUCAAUUUCUAACAAUCACAUGGUGGCUCACAACCGUCUAUAAUGAGAUCUGGUCCCCUCUUCUGGCCUGCAUAGAUAUAUGCAGACAGAACACUGCAUACAUAAUAAAUAAAUAAAUCUUUUUUUUAAAAAAAAACCCCAACCCUACAUUCCCAAUAGGUGGAGUGGCUGGUUUAAAAAAAAAGAAAAGAAAAAGAAAAAAGAGAUGGAUCAGGAGAGAGGCCAGCAUUGCUACUCCCUAGAGGCAGGAGGGGAUGGGGAUGUUGUUUGCAGUGCUAUGAAGGACCAGUGCUCUAAGUGACCUUUUAAAAACACUUAUCUAAUACAUGUUUUAUAAUCAUCAUCUGUUGCAUGGUUAUGCAUCACUGGCAAGGUGUCCAGGUUCCUGUAAACAACCUUUCACCCAUGCCCCUGUAAGUAUCCCUAAUGAAACUGAAAGGGCCACACACACACACCAAACACAGGAAAAUACAAUGAGAACUGGUUAGGAAGAGGAAAGUGGUGGGUAAACGGGAUGGAGUGGGGGAUAAAUAUGAUCAAAUAUGUUAAAUACAGGUAUGAAAAUUUCUUGAGACCCAUUGUUAUGAAAAAUUGCUGUAUGCCAAUAAAAGCCUUAAAAAAAGAACUUUUAAAUCAUCAAGUAGGAAAAUAGAUGGUCACAGUUGAAUAAUUAGUUCAGUUGUCACCAGAGAUAUGCUAAGAUAACCUUGUGAAGGGCAUUAUUAUUUUUUGAACCUCCAAAUUAUAUAGUUGAAAUAAAGUCACAAUUCCAAUUUUCCUGGAGAAAUUGGCUAGGUAGCUGUGCAAUUAGUCACCCUCUGCUACAGUAAGCUGCAGCACCUGCAAAGCUGGCAGCCAUGGGUGCCAAAGUGACAUGGGUGACAACAGUGACAAUAUUCUGUCCAUAUUCUCAGGUCUGCAAGGCAGUUGGGGUUCUGCUGAUGUGGGAAGUGCUCACCUGGCCUUGCUUGGGCUCUUCAGGGUACCAGGGCUCAGGUUAAGUCUGACCAGCUUCUAAGUCUUGGUAGUUUGGGGGCAACAGUUAUGCAUCUGAUAGCUUACUCUGGACCAAGUGAAAACCACACAGGCACAGUUGGUUGACAGCUCUCCUUGUAUCUGCCAACACAGUAAUGGCCGAAGCAGGUCACAUGGCCUGGAUCAAUCAAAGAGUAGGUCCUCUAGCUUUUCUGCUCAUUCACAUUGCAAAGC